rnacentral:rRNA from 1 species
GACGAACGCUGGCGGCGUGCCUAAUACAUGCAAGUCGAGCGAACAGAUGAGAAGCUUGCUUCUCUGAUGUUAGCGGCGGACGGGUGAGUAACACGUGGGUAACCUACCUAUAAGACUGGGAUAACUCCGGGAAACCGGGGCUAAUACCGGAUAAUAUUUUGAACCGCAUGGUUCAAUAGUGAAAGACGGUUUCGGCUGUCACUUAUAGAUGGACCCGCGCCGUAUUAGCUAGUUGGUAAGGUAACGGCUUACCAAGGCGACGAUACGUAGCCGACCUGAGAGGGUGAUCGGCCACACUGGAACUGCGACACGGUCCAGACUCCUACGGGAGGCAGCAGUAGGGAAUCUUCCGCAAUGGGCGAAAGCCUGACGGAGCAACGCCGCGUGAGUGAUGAAGGUCUUCGGAUCGUAAAACUCUGUUGUUAGGGAAGAACAAAUUUGUUAGUAACUGAACAAGUCUUGACGGUACCUAACCAGAAAGCCACGGCUAACUACGUGCCAGCCGCCGCGGUAA